rnacentral:tRNA from 1 species
GGGUCCGUGCCGGAGGUGUUCGCCGCCGCUCCGCUCCGGCCGAGGCCGGGGAGGCCGACGGGUCGGGUGGUCGUGCCACCCGAGCGUGACCCG